rnacentral:rRNA from 1 species
GACGAACGCUGGCGGCGUGCCUAAUACAUGCAAGUCGAGCGAACAUUCAUGGAGCUUUCUUUCCUUACGUUUUCGCCGCACGUGUGUGUAUCACACGUAUGCACUCUCUCUUACACUUGGAUAUCUCCCCGAGACCCCAGCUCUUACCCCGUAUUAUCUUUUUCUCCAUGUUUCCAUACUCUAAGACACUGUUGCUGCUGUUUCUACAUGAAUCCGCGCCGCAUUAGCUAGUUGGUAAGGUAACGGCUUACCAAGGCAACGAUGCGUAGCCGACCUGAGAGGGUGAUCGGCCACACUGGAACUGAGACACGGUCCAGACUCCUACGGGAGGCAGCAGUAGGGAAUCUUCCGCAAUGGACGAAAGCCUGAUGGAGCAACGCCGCGUGAGUGAUGAAGGUUUUCGGAUCGUAAAACUCUGUUAUGAGGGAAGAACAAGUGUGGGAGUAACUAUGCGCAUCUUGACGGUACCUAAUCAGAAAGCCACGGCUAACUACGUG